rnacentral:lncRNA from 15 species
AUGGACUGCUGCCGGUUUACAACUGUGUCUCCUCCUCUUUCUUUUUUACACUUUACUUUCACUUUCUAUGAAGAAGAUUGUUUUCUGCAUCUAAACCUCCGGCUGAAGAGUCGGAAAAACCUGAACGUGUGUGAACCACUUCGUGCCGGACUGUUUUCACAACCUCGGUUAGUACAACACUGGACUGGCUAAAAGACUGUUCCUGAAAGAGAGAUUGUACCAACUGUCUGUGGAGUGACAGCAGAGGAAGUAACUGUAAGUAUUUUUAAGAAUUGAUGCUUUGUUUUUCAUUGUUCGUGUAACGCUAGCACAUGCUAACAGUUGUUAGCUGCAGGAGCCUGAAUGAUGCUAACGUAGUUAUUGUUUGUUAAAUGUUUGUUAAAUGUGUGCAAGAUGAACACGGAACUUAUAAGGUGAGGUUAAUUUAUUAAGCCAGCUGGUGCAGAUGACUCCAUAUUCUGCCCUGCUGCUAUUUUUUAUAGAGAUUCAAAUAACGUUUAUGCCGUGAAUUACCAAGCUUCGUGCCGGGAGGGGUGGCCUUAUGUUCGUCUGUAUUUUGUAGAACAGGGUAGAUAACGUCAGUUAGGUUUAAUUGUCUUUAACCAGGUAACUUACAUAUCUGCUGGGUAGCUAAGUAUCUGUUCACCGUGUGGAUCAAUACAGCUGUGAUCAGAAGAAGACGCCGUACGUGCGUGUAAUUCAGCAGCGGAGGUAAUUUGAUUGGUAAGAUUGUAGCUUUGAUUUGCACACAGCAGCUCUGUGAUUUCACUGUGUUACUAUAGUUACUGAGUCUGUCUGACUUUAUGCUGUAAUAUGAGGGGCAGUGUGAUCGUUAACCCUCGUUAGAAGCUACCAAAAUACCGGGAGUGAGUUAUGGUGAUUCUUUUCUUUUUGUGUAACUUGCUAACGUGCUAACCAGCUGGAGCUCGCUUCGUUGUUUUCCGUGUGUGUGUGUGUUACGUUGUGUGUGUGUGUGUGUGUGUGUGUGUGUGUGUGUUACGGUGUGUAAAUUAACUUGAUCUACAUGCACCGGAGUUAGCGAUAGAGCUACUGUGAAAAAGAAAAAGUCAAAACUAGCAGGGAUUCAUUAGUUUAGUAAUAUUGUGUAACUACGACGCUCACUAGGCUGUUUUGUGGAGUCAAACACUGCUUUAUUAUUCUAUUUUAUAACUUAGGACUACUUUGAGCCACAAUGAGCUGUUGUACUUGUACUGUAUAUAUAUAUAUAUAUAUAUAUAUAUAUAUAUAUAUAUAGAUAGAUGUGGCCAUACCAGCAGAUGCCAACAUCAGAAAGAAGGAACACGAAAAGGUUGAAAAGUACCAAGGGUUGAAAGAACAGCUGGAGCAGAUGUGGAAGGUAAAAGCAAGCGUGAUCCCAGUGGUAGUAGGAGCACUCGGGGCAGUGACCCCCAAACUGGGGGAGUGGCUCCAACAGAUCCCAGGAACAACAUCAGAAGCAUCAGUCCAGAAGAGCGCAGUCCUAGGAACAGCUAAGAUACUGCGCAGAACCCUCAAACUCCCAGGCCUCUGGUAGAGGACCCGAGCUUGAGGAUGACACAGAUACCACCCCAAGAGGGUGAGAGGGAAGUUGUUUUUAUGCUGCCUUACAAGUAACACUGAAUCUGCCUUGUUUUACAGGUGACCUGAUGAAGCUCAGGUGUUCCUGGACCCAUCAGAGGAGAGAGACAGCUGCAGCAUCAGGACAGUCUGAAGGACACGAUCACAUAAAACUUAUAGCUUUUAAAAGUUAUAGGUUACACAACAUGUGUAACCUGGAAUAAUGAAUGAAACAAAAAUAAAAUGUUUUACUUUUAAGAAGAGUUUUGGUGAUUUUUAAAUUCAGUAAUAAG